rnacentral:rRNA from 1 species
UGAGUACAAGGCACUACGGUGCUAAAGUGAUUGAAGUUAUACUUCCUAGAAAAGUUUGUAAUGCCUUAAGUAAUAAACGCCUGUACCCUAAACCGACACAGGUAGGUAAGUAGAGUAUACUAAGGGGCGCGAGAUAACUCUCUUUAAGGAACUCGGCAAAAUGACUCCGUAACUUAGGAAGAAGGAGUACCCUUUACAGGGUUGCAAAAACCAGACCCAAGCGACUGUUUACCAAAAACACAGGUCUCCGCUAAGUCGCAAGACAACGUAUGGAGGCUGACGCCUGCCCAGUGCCGGAAGGUUAAGUGAGUUGGUUCGUCUUACGACAAAGCUAGCAAUCGAAGCCCCGGUGAACGGCGGCCGUAACUAUAACGGUCCUAAGGUAGCGAAAUUCCUUGUCGGGUAAGUUCCGACCCGCACGAAAGGCGUAACGAUUUGGGUACUGUCUCAAAGAGAGACUCGGCGAAAUAGACAUGUCCGUGAAGAUGCGGACUACCUGCACCUGGACAGAAAGACCCUAUGAAGCUUUACUGUAGCUUGGAAUUGGGUUUAAGUUUUUCUUGCGCAGAAUAGGUGGGAAGCUAAGAAGCCAAUCUUGCGGGAAUGGUGGAGCUAACAGUGAGAUACCACUCUAGGAAAACUGGAAUCCUAACCUUGAUUGCCGUAAGCCGGCCAAGGAACAGUUUCAGGUGGGCAGUUUGACUGGGGCGGUCGCCUCCUAAAAGGUAACGGAGGCGUGCAAAGGUUUCCUCAGGCUGGUCGGAAAUCAGUCGUAGAGUGUAAAGGCAUAAGGAAGCUUGACUGCAAGACCUACAAGUCGAGCAGGGACGAAAGUCGGCCUUAGUGAUCCGACGGUUCCGAGUGGAAGGGCCGUCGCUCAACGGAUAAAAGUUACUCUAAGGAUAACAGGCUGAUCUCCCCCAAGAGUUCACAUCGACGGGGAGGUUUGGCACCUCGAUGUCGGCUCAUCGCAUCCUGGGGCGGUAGUACGUCCCAAGGGUUGGGCUGUUCGCCCAUGAAAGCGGUACGCGAGCUGGGUUCAGAACGUCGUGAGACAGUUCGGUCCAUAUCCGGUGUAGGCGUUAGAAUAUUGAGAGGGGUUCUUCCUAGUACGAGAGGACCGGAAGGAACGCACCGCUAGUGUACCAGUUAUUGUGCCAACGGUAAACGCUGGGUAGCUAUGUGCGGCAAGAAUAACUGCUGAAAGCAUCUAAGUAGGAAGUCUUCCUCAAGAUGAGUAUUCUCACCAUUUUAAAUGGGUAAGGUCACGGUAAGACUAACCGUUUUAUAGGUACCGAGUAUAAGUGCAGUAAUGUAUUCAGCUGAGGUAUACUAACAGACCGAGGGCUUG